rnacentral:rRNA from 1 species
UACGUAGGGUGCGAGCGUUAAUCGGAAUUACUGGGCGUAAAGGGUGCGCAGGCGGCUCCGCAUGUCCGGGCGUGAAAUCCCCGGGCUUAACCUGGGAAUUGCGUCCGAAACUAUCGGAGCUGGAGUGUGGCAGAGGGGGGUGGAAGUUCCACGUGUAGCAGUGAAAUGCGUAGAUAUCUGGAAGAACACCAAUGGCGAAGGCACCAUCCUGGGAAGCAUCUGACGCUCAGGUGCGAAAGCUAGGGGAGCGAACGGG